rnacentral:rRNA from 1 species
CGGCGAGUGAAGCGGCAAAAGCUCAAAUUUGAAAUCUGGUACCUUCGGUGCCCGAGUUGUAAUUUGGAGAGGGCAACUUUGGGGCCGUUCCUUGUCUAUGUUCCUUGGAACAGGACGUCAUAGAGGGUGAGAAUCCCGUGUGGCGAGGAGUGCGGUUCUUUGUAAAGUGCCUUCGAAGAGUCGAGUUGUUUGGGAAUGCAGCUCUAAGUGGGUGGUAAAUUCCAUCUAAAGCUAAAUAUUGGCGAGAGACCGAUAGCGAACAAGUACAGUGAUGGAAAGAUGAAAAGAACUUUGAAAAGAGAGUGAAAAAGUACGUGAAAUUGUUGAAAGGGAAGGGCAUUUGAUCAGACAUGGUGUUUUGUGCCCUCUGCUC